rnacentral:misc_RNA from 1 species
GAUGAAGAACGUAGCGAAAUGCGAUACUUGGUGUGAAUUGCAGAAUCCCGUGAACCAUCGAGUCUUUGAACGCAAGUUGCGCCCGAAGCCAUUAGGCCGAGGGCACGCCUGCCUGGGCGUCACACGUCGUUGCCCCCCCAUCUACUCCUUUGGGAUUGCGGGGGGCGGAUGAUGGCCUCUCGUGCGCCUCGUCGCGCGGUUGGCCUAAAUGCCAAGUCCUCGGCGACGCACGCCACGACAAUCGGUGGUUGCGAAACCUCGGUUGCCUGUCGUGUGCGGUCGUCGCGCAUCGAGGGCUCGAAAAAAUUGCCGGGCUUCGGCUCGACUUUCAACGCGACCCCAGGUCGGGCGGGGUUACCCGCUGAAUUUAAGCAUAUCAAUAAGCGGAGGA